rnacentral:lncRNA from 1 species
CCCACAUUUUGUUGGUAAGAGCAACUCACAUGGCCAUGCUUGAAUUGAAGUGGAUGGAGAAGUCAACUCCUACCAUGGGCCUGGCAUAAAGGAGACUUGAACAUCUGUGAACAGCCCGGAUGACUACCAUAAUGACACCUCACCAAGAGCCCCUGCCCACUCCAUUUCACCUGGCCCAUCGCUGCAGGACUUCCCACUGUGCAGGCAGCAGUCAAUGACUGAGCACCCCGUCUGGGCUACACAGCUGCUCCAGGUGCCAGAGAGAUCCCCAUGAACAGGACCAAGUCCACGCCCUCGUGGAGGGAACAUUCCAGAAGUGCACCAUAGGGUCAAAGAGCCCAGAUGUACUUCCCUGGGGUGCUGGGAGCCAAGGCAUGGAACUGCAGUCGCCUCCCAAGUUCAGGGCCCUGGGUGGAGCUGCUGGCUGCAGCCAGGGCCAGGGAGCAGAGAUGCCCCUCUGCCACCCUGCCCCACCCCAGGCAAUGAAGAAACUCCAAGCUCUGGGUCCGUGGGAGGCACCAGGCAAACAGAGGAGUCAGCAAGCUAAACAUGCUAUUAGCAGCGAUGGAGAAGUGAUGAUUCUCUGCACAGCUGUCAGAAGCAGCUCCCCGCCGCCUGGCACCAGCACCUGGGGAGGGGCCUCCGCUCAUCGGCCUUCACAGAGAUGCCCCAGGCUGGGAAAGAAAGACCAGCAGGCCGGACAUUCUGUGCCACCACUCCCUCGUCCUUAGCUGCAGGGAUCUUGCCCUUCAUCCAGAGACUGAGACCUGGAAGCGAGGCCCACCUCUGCACCUGCCCCCAUAGCUGGGCCUUCGUUCCUCAAACUGUAAGCUGGGCAUGAAAGUAAUACCACCUUUUGUGGCAGAAUUGUUGGGAGGGACCAGUGAGAUAUUUUGUCUGAAGCACCUUGCAAAUGGUAAAGGGCUAUGGGGUCACUGCUGUUACAAUUCUUCUAUCAAAAAUCUAAUCUUCAGGGCUUUCACUGUUUCAUUCACACAGAAUGAAAUUGAGGCUCAAGAGGUUACACGAUUUGACCAAGUCACACAACUGCAAACAAGUAGGUGUCAGUUUCCAGGAUCGAAGCCAGGAGGAAGCUCAAAGAGCAUCCAGCCCCCAUGCUGUAAAAGGGAUUCAAGGCCCAGAACCAGAAGGUGAUUAGCCUUGCAGCAGGACAGAGGGCAGACAGCACCGAAGCCCAGCUCUGCUCACUCUGCUGGGAGCACUUCCCAGGCCACUGUGGAUCUGGGCCUUGUCCUCAGCUUGGGGUGGCUGCAGGAGCAUCCUGAGGAAUGAACCCAUGCCAGAGCACUGAAGAUGCCCCCACCGCCCCCGCUGCAGACUCCUCACCCAGGUCUCUUCAUCUCAAAGGGGCUGUCAUAGAGGCCCAGGGCUGUGACCUGGAGGAACACACUCCACCUUCCUGACAUCCAGCCCGUCUAUCAUUCUAAUAGUGGAAAGGUGGGUUCCAGAGCCUGCUCAAGACACAGUGUGCAGAGCAGGGAAGGAGCCUGCCCAGGCACAAGGCAGGGGCCCCUCUCAAAGCCUCAUGCGCUGCCUGGGGCCCUUGACAACCUGAGGCCUUCCAGGAUGCUUUGAAUUCAGUCUUCUUGGCCCUGCUGCUGCCCCACUUGACAGAAGAGAGAUGGAUGGGGAGGUGAGAGGCACUGCCCGCCUAACCACCCACCACCUGUCACUUCUGCCUUUUGAAAUCACUUUCGUGGGCAGAGGCAGGGAUGCUGAUCACACCAUGUGGGAGGGACUUGGAGGGUGGGGCGGUGACUCACAGGACAGUGGGGGAUAGGAAGCAGCUCCAGAGCCUCCCUGGUAGUGAAAGGGAAGGGCGCUAGUGACUCAGGGACAGCUGGGGAGGGGUGCAUGGGGAGGGAGCUCAUUCCCCCCAGCUCUGUGCCCUGCAUGCCUGGGGGGUGACCUCCUGUGGUGGGCCCCGAUCUUGCCCCUGUGGGGCAGUCUUUGCCCUCAGCUUGCUUCCCAGCAGUAGCCAGGCACCCAGUAGCUGCAUGGUGAGUGAAUUCCAAUCUUGCCCGCUGCCGGCCAGCUGUGCAGACCUUCGGCAGGCUGAGUGCUCCUCUGCCCUCACAUCUAGGCCUGUAGAUGGAAGCAGAGCCCGACUCAUAGAGCCAAUUGCCCAUCCUGCAGCUGUGAAUGUUGCAGCUUCCAGCAGGUUCUUGCUGCAGACUUACUGAGAGGACUGAGGGCUGUGGCAGGCCACCCCAGCCUGCUGGGCACCCCCUUCAGGAUGGCCCCAACAAAUAGUAAAUAAAUGCCCCACUCCCAG